rnacentral:rRNA from 1 species
UACGUAGGGGGCGAGCGUUGUCCGGAUUUAUUGGGCGUAAAGAGCGUGUAGGCGGCCAGGUAGGUCUGCUGUGAAAACUCGAGGCUCAACCUCGAGACGUCGGCGGAAACCAUCUGGCUAGAGUCCGGAAGAGGAGAGUGGAAUUCCUGGUGUAGCGGUGAAAUGCGCAGAUAUCAGGAAGAAUACCCGUGGCGAAGGCGGCUCUCUGGGACGGUACUGACGCUGAGACGCGAAAGCGUGGGGAGCGAACAGG